rnacentral:snoRNA from 2 species
GUGUUGAGAUGUACCUCGUCUGAUACGUGACGAGCUUCACGGCACACUGA